ensembl:misc_RNA Metazoa_SRP Metazoan signal recognition particle RNA
GCUGGGCGUGGUAGCUCACGCCUGUAAUCCCAGCAUUUUGGGAGGCUGAGGCUGGUGGAUCACUUGAGGCCAGGAGCUCGAGACCAGCCUGGCCAACAUGGUGAAACCCUGUCUCUA